rnacentral:rRNA from 1 species
GGGAAAGAUUCAGCGGUAUGGGAUGGGGUCGCGUCCUAUCAGCUUGAUGGCGGGGUAACGGCCCACCAUGGCUUCGACGGGUAGCCGGCCUGAGAGGGCGACCGGCCACAUUGGGACUGAGAUACGGCCCAGACUCCUACGGGAGGCAGCAGUGGGGAAUAUUGCACAAUGGGCGCAAGCCUGAUGCAGCGACGCCGCGUGCGGGAUGACGGCCUUCGGGUUGUAAACCGCUUUUGACUGGGAGCAAGCCCUUCGGGGUGAGUGUACCUUUCGAAUAAGCACCGGCUAACUACGUGCCAGCAGCCGCGGUAAUACGUAGGGUGCAAGCGUUAUCCGGAAUUAUUGGGCGUAAAGGGCUCGUAGGCGGUUCGUCGCGUCCGGUGUGAAAGUCCAUCGCUUAACGGUGGAUCCGCGCCGGGUACGGGCGGGCUUGAGUGCGGUAGGGGAGACUGGAAUUCCCGGUGUAACGGUGGAAUGUGUAGAUAUCGGGAAAGAACACCA